GACGAACGCUGGCGGCGUGCUUAACACAUGCAAGUCGAGCGAGGCCCCUCCUUCGGGAGGGUGUCCUAGCGGCGAACGGGUGAGUAACACGUGGGCAACCUGCCCUCAGCUCUGGGAUAACUCCGGGAAACCGGGGCUAAUACCGGAUACGACCUCCACGGGCAUCUGCGGAGGUGGAAAGUUUUUCGGCUGAGGAUGGGCCCGCGGCCUAUCAGCUAGUUGGUGGGGUAGUGGCCCACCAAGGCGACGACGGGUAGCCGGCCUGAGAGGGCGACCGGCCACACUGGGACUGAGACGCGGCCCAGACUCCUACGGGAGGCAGCAGUGGGGAAUAUUGCGCAAUGGGCGAAAGCCUGACGCAGCGACGCCGCGUGAGGGACGAAGGCCUUCGGGUUGUAAACCUCUUUCAGCAGGGACGAAGCGAAAGUGACGGUACCUGCAGAAGAAGCACCGGCCAACUACGUG
rnacentral:rRNA from 1 species